GACGAACGCUGGCGGCGUGCUUAAUACAUGCAAGUCGAACGGAAAGGCCCUGCGUUUGUGGGGUGCUAGAGUGGAGAACGGGUGGGGUACAUGUGAGUCACCUGCGCAUGACUUUGGGAUAACUUCAGGAAACUGGGGUUAAUACCGGCUAGGAGCUCCUGCAGCAAGGAGGGGGUUGGAAAGGUUGGGCGGUGCGGGUUGGACGCGCGGCUUGUCAGCUUGUUGGUGGGGUAGUGGCUUACCAAGGCUAUGACGGGUAGCCGGCCUGGGAGGGUGACCGGCCACAUCAGGACUGAGAUGCGGCACAGACCCGUACGGGAGGCGGAAGAGGAGAAAAGUACACAAGGGGAGGAACGCUAGUGCAACAGCGCCGCGUGCGGUAGAACGGCCUGGGUGUUGGAAUCUGCUUUCGCCUGUGACGAAGCGAGAGUGACGGUAAUGGGUAAAGAAGCCCCGGCUAACUACGUG
rnacentral:rRNA from 1 species